rnacentral:rRNA from 1 species
AUUGAACGCUGGCGGCAUGCUAUACACAUGCAAGUCGAGCGGUAACAGGCCUUCGGGUGCUGACGAGUGGCGAACGGGUGAGUAAUGCAUCGGAACGUACCCAGAGGUGGGGGAUAACGCAGCGAAAGCUGUGCUAAUACCGCAUGUGAUCUGAGGAUGAAAGCGGGGGACCGAGCAGCAAUGUUUGGCCUCGCGCCUUUGGAGCGGCCGAUGUCGGAUUAGCUAGUUGGUGGGGUAAAGGCCUACCAAGGCGACGAUCCGUAGCUGGUCUGAGAGGACGACCAGCCACACUGGGACUGAGACACGGCCCAGCCUCCUACGGGAGGCAGCAGUGGGGAAUUUUGGACAAUGGCGCAAGCCUGAUCCAGCAAUGCCGCGUGCGGGAAGAAGGCCUUCGGGUUGUAAACCGCUUUUGGCAGGAACGAAACGGUGUCCGCUAAUACCGGGCGCUAAUGACGGUACCUGCAGAAUAAGCACCGGCUAACUACGUG